UUUUAUUGGUCAAUUUAAGAGGAAACCUUCAGAUCAUCGUCCAGGUUGCCAAGGAGUAUUGUGAGCAGCUGGGUGUUGAAUCAUGCAUUAAAAUUUUCGAACAAUUUAAAUCAUAUGAAGGCCUUUACUUCUUCUUGGGGUCGUAUUUGAGCUCAAGUGAGGAUCCUGACAUACACUUCAAGUACAUCGAGGCAACUGCAAAGACAGGGCAAAUCAAGGAGGUUGAACGAGUAACACGGGAAUCAAAUUUCUAUGAUGCUGAAAAGACCAAGAAUUUCCUAAUGGAAGCCAAGCUUCCUGAUGCAAGGCCAUUAAUCAACGUGUGUGAUCGCUUUGGCUUUGUUCCAGAUCUCACUCACUACCUUUAUACCAACAACAUGCUUCGGUAUAUCGAAGGUUAUGUUUAGAAGGUCAACCCAGGGAAUGCUCCCUUAGUUGUCGGACAACUCCUAGACGAUGAAUGCCCCGAGGAUUUCAUCAAAGGUUUAAUCCUAUCCGUUCGAUCUCUUCUUCCAGUCGAGCCUCUUGUGGAUGAGUGUGAAAAAAGGAACCGACUUCGUUUACUAACUCAAUUUCUAGAACACCUAGUAAGUGAAGGAAGCCAAGACGUCCACGUCCACAACG